rnacentral:rRNA from 1 species
UACGUAGGGGGCUAGCGUUGUCCGGAAUCAUUGGGCGUAAAGCGCGCGUAGGCGGCCAGAUAAGUCCGCUGUGAAAGUCGGGGGCUCAACCCUCGAAUGCCGGUGGAUACUGUCGGGCUAGAGUGCGGAAGAGGCGAGUGGAAUUCCUGGUGUAGCGGUGAAAUGCGCAGAUAUCAGGAGGAACACCGAUGGCGAAGGCAGGUCUCUGGGCCGAUACUGACGCUGAGGAGCGAAAGCGUGGGGAGCGAACAGG